AUUGAACGCUGGCGGCAUGCCUUACACAUGCAAGUCGAACGGCAGCACGGGCUUCGGUCUGGUGGCGAGUGGCGAACGGGUGAGUAAUGUAUCGGAACGUACCUUUCAGUGGGGGAUAACGUAGCGAAAGUUACGCUAAUACCGCAUAUUCUGUGAGCAGGAAAGCAGGGGAUCGCAAGACCUUGCGCUGAUUGAGCGGCCGAUAUCAGAUUAGCUAGUUGGUGAGGUAAAGGCUCACCAAGGCGACGAUCUGUAGCGGGUCUGAGAGGGUGAUCCGCCACACUGGAACUGAGACACGGUCCAGACUCCUACGGGAGGCAGCAGUGGGGAAUUUUGGACAAUGGGGGCAACCCUGAUCCAGCCAUGCCGCGUGAGUGAAGAAGGCCUUCGGGUUGUAAAGCUCUUUCGGCCGGGAAGAAAUCGCAUGGGCUAAUACCCUGUGCGGAUGACGGUACCGGCAUAAGAAGCACCGGCUAACUACGUGCCAGCAGCCGCGGUAAUACGUAGGGUGCGAGCGUUAAUCGGAAUUACUGGGCGUAAAGCGUGCGCAGGCGGUUUUUUAAGACAGGCGUGAAAUCCCCGGGCUCAACCUGGGAACUGCGCUUGUGACUGGAAGGCUAGAGUAUGGCAGAGGGGGGUGGAAUUCCACGUGUAGCAGUGAAAUGCGUAGAGAUGUGGAGGAACACCAAUGGCGAAGGCAGCCCCCUGGGCCAAUACUGACGCUCAUGCACGAAAGCGUGGGUAGCAAACAGGAUUAGAUACCCUGGUAGUCCACGCCCUAAACGAUGUCAACUAGGUGUUGGGUGGG
rnacentral:rRNA from 1 species